UACAGAGGGUGCAAGCGUUAAUCGGAAUUACUGGGCGUAAAGGGCGCGUAGGUGGUUAUGUAAGUGAGAUGUGAAAUCCCUGGGCUCAACCUGGGAACUGCGUCUUAUACUGCGUAGCUGGAGUACAUGAGAGGGUAGUGGAAUUUCCGGUGUAGCGGUGAAAUGCGUAGAUAUCGGAAGGAACACCAGUGGCGAAGGCGGCUACCUGGCAUGAUACUGACACUGAGGCACGAGAGCGUGGGGAGCAAACCGG
rnacentral:rRNA from 1 species